AAAAAAAACAAACCCGGAUUUCCGUGUCCAACAUUGGACCAUACAUCUUAUUUAAAAAAAUAUGAAAAAAAAAAUAAAAAGACAAGUCACGUAUAAAAUAUUAAUCAUGUUUUAUCAUCUAACAACAAUAAAAAUACAAAUUAUAAAAAAAUAUCAUAUAAAACGGACAGUCAAAGUUGGACACGAAAACUCAGGGUUUGCUUUUUU
rfam:Oryza sativa (indica cultivar-group) chromosome 1, whole genome shotgun sequence.